UACAGAGGGUGCGAGCGUUAAUCGGAAUUACUGGGCGUAAAGGGUGCGUAGGUGGUUAUGUAAGUUAGGUGUGAAAUUCCCGGGCUUAACCUGGGGACUGCGCCUGAUACUGCAUAGCUAGAGUACUGUAGAGGAAAGUGGAAUUUCCGGUGUAGCGGUGAAAUGCGUAGAUAUCGGAAGGAACACCAGUGGCGAAGGCGACUUUCUGGACAGAUACUGACACUGAGGCACGAAAGCAUGGGGAGCAAACAGG
rnacentral:rRNA from 1 species